rnacentral:misc_RNA from 1 species
CAAUAUUCAUGAAAAUCGAAAGUUGUAUAUGUUAUAUCUGGAUGAUUAUAAUUUAGUACAUGGUUACUAUAGGCUUCCCAAAUUACCUUCUCCUUGCCAGUUUGUUCUACAAGAUUCAUGAUACAAAUUGGGCCGUACAACCCUAGUUCUUCGGUAAAAUGUUUCUCGAACGCAAUUUGCGUUUCUGCUUCAUCUAGAGGAUUGAAAAUUAUUAUUGUUAACAUUUAGAUGAAAUUUCUUGUUGGUUACCUCUAUCUAUUCGUGGUGGUGGCUUGUAUUUAUAGCCAGGUUGAGACCAGUAUACUGGUACACUGCCUCGUACUUGGACAAAGGAUACUUGGUGAUCAUGGUACCAAACUAGUUGCUCUGUUUCUACGUAGUUUGCGCAUUUUCCUUCAUCGUCCACACCACGUCGCUUAUCUCGUUCCUGCACGAAAUCUACUUCUUCUCGAUAUUAUUGCUAAAUUGAAAGUUUCAUGGUGUGGCUGUUCAUCGAUGCCCACUUCUACUUUACACUUUUCUAUUUGCACAUAUCCCUGAAUAACUGGUAAUAUCCAUGAGUUUGCUUUGUCUGUCUAAAAAAAUGAAAUAUUUUCUUAAUAAUAAAUAUCUAACAAAAUCCAAUUAAAUUUAGAAGAAUCCUAACUUUUAAAUUAAUUAUAUCCUGUAACAUGUGUUUAUUCCAAAAAAAUCUAUCAUCCACUCUUUGCCAAAGUGGUUUAUUCUGUUGUUCCUCAUUCCACUGUGAGUCUGUGACACAAAGCCUCUGCAAGCUAUUUGUGAUAUCACCAGUUUGGCAGAAAUAAAAGGAGUCAGUUUCG